ensembl:lncRNA novel transcript
GGAAGAAGGAAAGGAAAGGAAAAAAAUCUUUAAUGGCCCUGGGAACUGGAAAAACUAGAAAUACAAUUGCUAACAUCUAUGUUCCUAAAUUCAGAGAUUCCUACUAGGCAAAAAGAACUUAGCAGAUUAAUCUGAGAACAGCAGCUGAGGCUGGCAGAAGGCUUCCUGGGCCUCAACUCACAGCUGAGAGUGAGGAUGGCAAAAAGCAGUGCUGUGAGUGGUCUGUAAGUUGAUUUGAACCAUUACCAGUUCCUGGUUCUGCACAGGUUGUUGAAGGCAGGACUUCUCUCCUUCAGUGGAAACUCCACCUGCUCACAAUCAACCAUCCUUUCCUGCAGCCUUGAGACACUACUCAGUGCAGCACCCCUCCCAGUCUAGAAUAAGCACACUCAUCAUCAAUCUCUCUCAUUUUCUGUCUUAUCUCCAUUCCAUCUACAUACAUUUUUUGUUUGUUUUUGCCAAUGUUUUUAAAUAAGCAACUGUACAAGCACAACAAUGACAACAAAAACCUUCCUCUCCCCAGUGUCGUAGUGAGCAAGGAAUAUAUUUAACUUCAAAUAAAAGACAAAAACAAAUGCUGGAUAAAGCUGACAGAAAGAAAUGCAACUGUAGGUGCUCUGGCAAUAUAGAAAUGAUACAACUAAGAAAAAUAGAAGAAAAGGAAAAAGAAGGUAUUCUGCAGAAUGAUUUUACUGACUGCUCGUCUGUAAUGCCUGGGAGUCAAAGGAUACUGUUUAUAGAAAUGUAGGCAUACUUAAUGGCAUCAGGGGAAACAAAGUUAAUAUUAUUAUAUCAAAUUGGGAGAUGAAAGAUCACAUAGGGAAGACAAGAAAGAGUUAAUACCAUUGUUCUUAGUUUAGAGACAUUAGCUACUGUCUAAAGAAAGAGAUGAUUUUAUGAAGUUACAUAAGGUAGCCAUCAGAAUAAAAAUUUAACUCUUCCAAAUAUCACAACAUCAAAACAAAAUCAAUAAAAA